ensembl:processed_transcript 1700051A21Rik RIKEN cDNA 1700051A21 gene
UGGGCACCCGGAUUCCGCCAGGCUGCCCAGACACGCAACUGACCUUGUCAGGUAUCAGAAUGACGAGUGGAAGCAUCAGGAUCGGGGUGAAGAGCAAAAUCGCAAAGGACUUGAACUUGGUCACACAAGUCUUCGCCGAAUCCAUCGCGUGAAAGGGAGACUGACUGGAGGGAGAAAAGAUUGCGAGGCAGCUAGAAGCUUCACGAGCUUAAAAGGGGGACGCGCGGUCCCACCGGAUUGGGGGCGGCUACAACUCCGCCCCCCAUUGCCAGGCCUCCCUGCGGUCCUGGGGCGGAGCCACCCCUCGGGGUCUGUGGGGAGUGUCUGUCCCAGGACUCUGCCACCCCGCGGCAGAGUGAGGCGUUUGCAGAUUUCAAUGCUUGGCACCAGCCCUCUAUGGAGAGGACUGGACCCUGGCACCUCACCACUUGCCAGCCCGUUGGCGCUGCUCUGGUCGUCAGUACCAUGCAGGGUGUGCCGGUCAUUCUGCCAGCUUAAGCGUGAGGACCCUUUGUGUACUCUCACCUGCUCUCUCCUGGACUCCGGAAUGUCCCAGAUGAAAAACACCAGCCUGUAGGAUUCUCAGGCUUCUCUCUCCAAAGCGUUCUCCUUCUCAUCCCUAUCCCGGAGGGGCGUCUCCUAGAGGCGAUGGCCGAGCCCUGCGCCACCGCGGUCUUCUCACCUCCAAGAUCCGCUGGCUUCCUCCUAGCGUUAGCCCGACUCUAGACAUAGAACCCAUUUCCCUCCUCGUGCCGUCUCCUACCCAGCGCACCGUAGGCGCUCUAGAGGGACCGCUAAGGAAGGCGGUCACUGUCCUCGCAGACCGAACGACUUUUACCCUCCAGCGAACGCGCUUGCGCAGGCCGGCCGUCUUUGCCCAGGCGCGGGUAGUUGCUGCCGCCCACUUACCGACCACCUCGCUAGUACCAUUUUAUGGUGGGAGACGGGGCCUUAGAAAAGAGGGGGCAUAAUCCUGCCAACCAUCAUCGAGGCAUUCGUUCAUUCAUUAAUCCUCCCCUUAACAGACCUGUGUGUAGUACCUGCUGUGCUAAGUCCUGUUUGGGACACCAACACAAGAGGGUGCAAUGACAUUAUUGACACCUCGCCCUGCCACCACCACCACCAGGAAAGAACUACUGAAUUCCCCACCUUCUCAGCCUGUGAAUAUCGAAGGCCCUAAAACAGAACACACAUUUGUAUCAAGAUUUUUGACUCUGUUCCUGUGACCUGUCUGUCACCUUGCCCUCAAGUCUGCAACUGCCGUCUUCAGGCCCUCUCUAUUUUCGCAAGAAGAGUGAGUCCUGCUGUUAACCAUGGAGCCAGCUUUCCAGCCUUUUGGAGUUUUUAUUUAAUCUUCUUUUUAUUUAUCACCAUGUGCCCACUUAACACCCUUUACCAGGCCUCAUUCAGGACGUUCACUCAAAGUCUGGGAUCUACGAUGCUGGUCAACCAUUCUGCUGUAAUUUAAGUGCUUUAAAGUCUAUAAAGUGUGCUCUGCAGCUAAAUGCCUGAAUCC